GAUGAACGCUGGCGGCGUGCCUAAUACAUGCAAGUCGAGCGAACGGACGAGAAGCUUGCUUCUCUGAUGUUAGCGGCGGACGGGUGAGUAACACGUGGAUAACCUACCUAUAAGACUGGGAAACUUCGGGAAACCGGAGCUAAUACCGGAUAAUAUUUUGAACCGCAUGGUUCAAAAGUGAAAGACGGUCUUGCUGUCACUUAUAGAUGGAUCCGCGCUGCAUUAGCUAGUUGGUAAGGUAACGGCUUACCAAGGCAACGAUGCAUAGCCGACCUGAGAGGGUGAUCGGCCACACUGGAACUGAGACACGGUCCAGACUCCUACGGGAGGCAGCAGUAGGGAAUCUUCCGCAAUGGGCGAAAGCCUGACGGAGCAACGCCGCGUGAGUGAUGAAGGUCUUCGGAUCGUAAAACUCUGUUAUUAGGGAAGAACAUAUGUGUAAGUAACUGUGCACAUCUUGACGGUACCUAAUCAGAAAGCCACGGCUAACUACGUG
rnacentral:rRNA from 1 species